rnacentral:tRNA from 1 species
GCCUGGGUGGCUCAGUGGGUUGAGCGUCAGACCUCAGCUCGGGUCAUGAUCUCAUGGUUUGUGGGUUGGAGCCCCACAUCAGGCU